rnacentral:lncRNA from 1 species
UAGGUGCUGUACAAAUACAGAGUAAAAGAUGGUUUGUGGUAGAGUGUGUUAGCAUAUAAUAACUCGUCAUCGAAAGUUAACUAUGUAAUACAUAUCCAGCAUGUAUAGGAGGAAGUCAAGCUGCAGGAGUCUGACCACACUGGCAAAGUGACAGGAUGGCAUCUUCUACUGCCGUUGGACCUAUGGUGGUGAGGAGAGAGCAGUAUGGUUCAAUCCUGAAGUGAUCACUCAGAUCAAACAGCUAUUGAGGCCAGUGGAACUGCCGCCCUGUUUUUAGGGUAUCUUGUGAUGUUGAAGUAAUGGAGAGAGAAAAAAGUGUUUCUUCACCAGCAUGGGCACAGCUUUUGGAACACAAACUGUUUAACUGCUGCAAGGCAACACAGGGAACAUGUGAGCAUAAAAUAUUUGUUUUGUGGAGGUCUUACUGCAAUUGGGAGGACUGGGGCAGCAGCAGAAGAGGGAUCAAGCGAGUGUGGCAUGGGUUAAGACUGCCUGGGACACGCAGUAAUGAUGAGAAACACAAGGCAAAGGUUUAUUUGAAACAUGUUUCUUAUCAGUGGGUCUUAUUUAACCCCAUUGCCAUAGAAGAUGGGCACCUCACCACCUUUUAAUGAAUUUAUCCUCACAACACCCUUGUAAGGUAGGGCAGCCUACAGAUAGGGAACUGAAGCACAGACAGGAUAAGUGACUUGAGUUCAAGGUCACAGACAAGAUCUGCAGUAGAGCAGGGACAUGAACCCAGGACUCCCAACUCCUGCGCUAAUGCCCUAACCACUGUACCUUCCAUCUUUUCUAUCCCUUUUUUUUAAACAAAGAUGCCAGAAAGUCAGACCUGUAUCUUCAGACUAUGUCCUCUGGCACAUUGAAUAUUGUCACCCAUGAUCUGAAGAUCCUUUCUCAGGAUUUGACAUGACUUGUGAGACCCCUGGGCCUUUGGCUUAUCUGGAGCACCCACUCUUCUGUGCUUAGUAUUGGACCCACUGUUUAUAGACACUAUACUACCUUAGAAACAAAUUCAAAUCCCAUAGUGUCCCAACAGUUCCUUGUGCUCAGGUCUGAAAAUUCCUUGGUGAGUCUAUUAUCCACCACUCUCCUCUGGUCCUCAUCUUGGCCCUAGUAAAAUCUAACUUUAUCAGGAGCAACUUACCUAAAACCUAGUUGCACUCUUCCUUAAGAAU